rnacentral:tRNA from 1 species
GGUAGCACAGUGGUUAAGCAUUUGGCUGCUAACCAAGAGGUCAGUGGUUCAAAUCCACUGACCA